rnacentral:lncRNA from 1 species
GCCGGAGCCCAUCCGCUCCCAACAUUGGGAGGAGCCGUCGGACCUGCCCCGCACCAACUACGAAGGCGAGGAACCCCCAGAGCCCCUCCGCCCCUGCUGUUACCCAGAGGAGCCGUCGGAGCCUCAGUGGCCGGAUUUCCCCGAGGAGCUGCCAGACCUGCCCCCAAGCCCCGGACCAGAGGAACCGAUGUUGCUGGACUGGCCCGAGCCCGGCGUUUUUCGGGCAGGAUACCCCACUGAGCAGGAGGUGUAGGAGCCUGCGCUUACCCCAACUGGGAUAUUGUUUGCUCAGCCCCUGCACCAAAGGGCCUGAGCUGUGACUGUUUGUGCCCCGCCCUGAUCCAGGGCCUGGGCCUCCCAACUGGCUGUUAUAUUGUUACUCAGUCCCUGCACCAAAGGGCCUGAGCUUCCUAACUCUAUACGGUUGCUCAGCCCCUGCACCAGAGGGCCUGAGCCCUGAACUAACUGUUUGUUUGCUCAGCCCCUGCACCAGAGGGCCUGAGCCCUGAACNNNNNNNNNNAUCACCUGAGCUACCAAACUGAUUGUUGCUCAGCCCCUGCACCAAAGGGGCCUGAGUUGUGACUAUUUGUGCCCUGCCCUGAUCCAGGGCAUGGGCCUACGAAACUCACUGUUGUAGUGGUGCUCAGUCCCUGCACCAAAGGGCCUGAGCUCCCUAACUCUAUUUGGUUGCUCAGCCCCUGCACCAAAGGGCCUGAGCCCUGAACUAACUGGUUGUUUGCUCAGCCCCUGCACCAGAGGGCCUGAGCCCUGAACUAACUGGUUGUUUGUUCCACCAGUAGUGAGUCGGCGUGGCUCCCCUCCUGCCCAGGAGGGUCGAGCCCCGGCACGAACCUUCUACACUGCAGUUAUAUCACUUCAGAUCGAGAUAACCUUUGGAAGAUAAAUAGUUUUCAUGACUAGGUAUGAAAACUAUAUGCUCACUAUUUUUUGUCAAAAUAAUUUGUAUAAUACUUUGAACACUAAAUCAUUUUUACAGGUCUUGUUGUUAAGCAUUUCCUGAUAACUAUGUCAG